CCACCCUCUGCAGGGGGGCGGGCCACACCGACACACAGCCAAGCAGAGCACCACGUCAACGCAGCAAAUCACCCUCGCUGGUCCACGUCCUCCCCGCUGAGCCUGAUUAGCCCCCGAAGGUUACAGAG
rnacentral:rRNA from 1 species